GAUGAACGCUAGCGGCAGGCCUAACACAUGCAAGUCGAGGGGUAGAGGAAGCUUGCUUCCUUGAGACCGGCGCACGGGUGCGUAACGCGUAUGCAAUCUACCUUUUACAGAGGGAUAGCCCAGAGAAAUUUGGAUUAAUACCUCAUAGUAUAUAUCAUUCGCAUGUUUGGUAUAUUAAAGUUCCAACGGUAAAAGAUGAGCAUGCGUCCCAUUAGUUAGUUGGUAAGGUAACGGCUUACCAAGACGAUGAUGGGUAGUGGUCCUGAGAGGGAGAUCCCCCACACUGGUACUGGAACACGGACCAGACUCCUACGGGAGGCAGCAGUGAGGAAUAUUGGUCAAUGGACGCAAGUCUGAACCAGUCAUGCCGCGUGCAGGAAGACGUUCCUAUGGAUUGUAAACUGCUUUUGUACGGGAAGAAACACUCCUACGUGUAGGAGCCUGACGGUACCGUAAGAAUAAGGAUCGGCUAACUCCGUGCCAGCAGCCGCCGUAACAC
rnacentral:rRNA from 1 species